rnacentral:misc_RNA from 1 species
GAACGCAAAUUGCACUUUCUGGUAUUCCAGAAAGUAUGCCUGUUUGAGCGUCAGUUAAAUAAAAAUCGGUGUUGUUGCUACCCGUAGUGGUGUUAAUGCAUCGGAAUUGAGUUGUCUUUACCUUUUUUGGUUGAAGUGACUUAAAAUUAUAUACGAUUUUUUGAACGUAUUUAAAUUAUUUACGUAUGUUCAUAAUAUCAAAUAUUAGGUGCGAUCAUCCUUAUGAUUCACAUCUAUAAUUUUUCAUUAUUUGACCUCAAAUCAGGUAAGAGUACCCGCUGAACUUAAG